CCAUUUUUGCCAAAAUUAAGUCGACAUGCUACCUGUCUAUGCUUUGUGUCGUCUUCCAUGUCUAUGUGUCUAUUAUCUGUCUAUGUCUAUGUCUGUCUGUCUAUGCUAUGUGUCGUCUUCCAUGUCUAUGUGUCUAUUACCUGUCUAUGUCUUUGUGAUUGCCCACAUGACUCAACUUUUGUCUGUGUCAACUCAACUUACUCCUGUCGUCUGUCCUUGUCGUUUGACCAUGUCGUCUUGCUGUGUCAAUGCUGCAUGUGUCAUGACUAUGCGUCGUUUCCCUCUGACGUUACCAUGGUCGUUACUAUGUGUCGUCUUCUCUCUCUUGCUUGUAUUGUUGCUAUGUGUCGUUGCUAUGCGUCGUGUCACUCUGUCGUUGCUUUAUGUUGUUUCACUCUGUCGUUAGCAAGAGCUAACGUUAGCUAGCAAGAGUUCCGGCAGGUGAUGUCACACAAUCCCAGCAUGCAGCAGUCAAUAUCAAAACACUGCCAUCGGAGCUGGGCCAGAGUUAGCUAGCUACGUUACUAGCUAGUUGCACCUAUUGUAGAUAGCUAGCUAGCUAUCUAUAUAAAUAGAUAUUUUUAUUGAUCCCAAGGGGAAAUAAUUUGCUACCUAUUUAAUAAACGCCUUGAUUCAGCAUGGUGGAUAGCUGCUGUGCGCAGGGAUGCCAGAACCAUCGGAAAAAAGAUAAUGGAUAGCAUGAGAUUCCUAGCUAAAGAUCCCGAGAGAAGAAGUAAAUGGAUUGCUUCCAUAAAACGUGCUAGAAGCAGACGGAACCAAACCGAGCGAUGGGAGCCCACAAACAAUGGAUUUCGGUUAUGCUGUGACCACUUCAUAUCAGGGGAAAAAAAGAGUGACAACCCUCUGUCACCUGACUACGUUCCUUCAAUCUUCAAUCAUGUUCCAUCCCAGGAGAAGAGAAAAAGAAGAAUGAGUUAGAUGUAGUCAACAGAAGAACAAACUUCAAAGAAUAGAGAAAGCAGCAAAGCCAUCAGCUGCAGCAGUAAUGGAUCUAACGGAUUGUCCUCAAGACAACAGCAAGCAUCCUACUGCAGACCAGGUGAAGGAAUCUAACAUCAACAAAGAACUUGAAAAUGAAAAUAGUCUGCCUUUUCCCCAUGAAAAUGACGAUCCAGCAACUUCACCAUUAGAGAGUAAAGUUUUUUUUUUUUUUUUAAAGAAACACAUCCCUUCUCUUGAGUUGGAAUGU